rnacentral:rRNA from 1 species
UACGUAGGGUGCGAGCGUUGUCCGGAAUUACUGGGCGUAAAGAGCUCGUAGGUGGUUUGUCGCGUUGUUCGUGAAAACUCACAGCUUAACUGUGGGCGUGCGGGCGAUACGGGCAGACUCGAGUCCGGUAGGGGAGUUCGGAAUUCCCGGUGUAGCGGUGAAAUGCGCAGAGUAUCGGGGAGGAACACCAGUGGCGAAGGCGGAACUCUGGGCCGGAACUGACGCUGAGGAGCGAAAGCCAGGGAGCAAAGCGGG